rnacentral:rRNA from 1 species
AGCGAACGCUGGCGGCAGGCCUAACACAUGCAAGUCGAACGGAUCCUUCGGGAUUAGUGGCGGACGGGUGAGUAACACGUGGGAACGUGCCCUUUGGUUCGGAACAACUCAGGGAAACUUGAGCUAAUACCGGAUGUGCCCUUCGGGGGAAAGAUUUAUCGCCAUUGGAGCGGCCCGCGUCUGAUUAGCUAGUUGGUGAGGUAAAGGCUCACCAAGGCGACGUUCAGUAGCUGGUCUGAGAGGAUGAUCAGCCACAUUGGGACUGAGACACGGCCCAAACUCCUACGGGAGGCAGCAGUGGGGAAUCUUGCGCAAUGGGCGAAAGCCUGAUGCAGCCAUGCCGCGUGAAUGAUGAAGGUCUUAGGAUUGUAAAAUUCUUUCACCGGGGACGAUAAUGACGGUACCCGGAGAAGAAGCCCCGGCUAACUUCGUGCCAGCCGCCGCGGUAAUAC